GUGCCCCAUUCAGUAGCACAUACACUAAAAUUGGAAGGAUACAAAGAAGAUUAGCAUGGCUCUGCACAAGGAUGACAGAAAAAUUUGUGAAGCCUUCCAUAUUUUU
ensembl:snRNA LOC120098438 U6 spliceosomal RNA